rnacentral:rRNA from 1 species
GUUAAGUUAGAAAGGGCGCACGGUGAAUGCCUUGGCACUAGGAGCCGAUGAAGGACGGGACUAACACCGAUAUGCUUCGGGGAGCUGUAAGUGAGCUUUGAUCCGGAGAUUUCCGAAUGGGGAAACCCGG